GUUUGAUAAUAUAGAGUAUGAAUUAGUUCAACGUAUGGGCAUUUACAAUAAUUUGUCACUUUACAAUGUCAUUGAGGAAAAAAAAUCUCACAUGACUUUUCAGGUUCAUCCCAUACAUAAUAACACAUCAAUUUGAGGUAUGCAAGAUAACUAGUGGAGUCCUUGUGGUGCAAUUAAGCAAAAUUUCAUUCACAAAUUAAUGCAGGAGGUUUCAUCAGAUUAUUUUCAAUAACUCUUGAAUUCAGUUCAUCAUACCAGACACUAAUUACAAUCCAACAUCAACUUUUUGAUGAAAUUAUUGUGUAGUCACCAAACACAUAAAAGUCCAGCAAAUAGUGGACAUUAUGCAAAGGACAAAAAUAUAAAAGCCCAGAAAGUAAAUGUCCACCCAAGAAAUAGAAAGAGAAGGAAAAAUAGCAGUUUUCAAAAGUUUAACUUCAAGAAGUACCACUUUUUACAUCUAUUUGUAAUUAUCAAACUUCAUAUACCCUUUCCAUUUCUUUUCUUGUCUGCAGAUCACUAGAUGUCUAAAAUGUGACCACCUGCAUUUUAGUGACUUUUCCUACAGCAGACCAGACAGUCACUUGAUGUUAUUGACAACCAUAAGCUCUCAAAUGCAAAUGGUUACUGAAGUUCCAUACAUGUUGCUCAUCAGUGGCAAGAGAAUGCAACUAGCAAAAUACAAAAUUUCUCAUAGCAGCUUCCAUCCUGAUUGACUGAAGAAAGUUUUUUGCAUGAUAAUCAAUUUACAAGAUCAUGUCAUUGAUCAGCCACUGAUUCAGAAGAAAUAGUGAUUGUUUCUAAAAUUGACUGAGAUUCAGCAUCGGAGGCUUCCAAUCUGUAAGAUCUACAGCUGAAGUAGAAAACUGCACUCAUCAUCAUAUCAAUAAGCACCACAAAUGAAAACAUAAUCACUAAAAGAGGACCUUCCCAAAUUCUUGAAGUUCCGUCUCCAUAACUCAGCGUCUUCACUCUAUGUUCAAACAACCCUUCCACAAAAGCCAUCCCAAUUGUUGAUCCUAGAUAUAUGAGAAGACCAACCUGUGUCUGACCCCUAAUCAAAAUACUGGACCGAAGCAAAGCCUGUGGCCCUGAAACAUCCUCCAACACAGAGAUCACAAUGGCAAUGUUGUAAAUGAUGAUUGCAUUGGCAAAAACAACUGAGAACACUAGCCCCACCAUUAUUGCAGCAUACAAAUUUAAUUCGGGUGAAAAACCAAUUACUGAAAAUGAACUACAAAUCGCUAAGAGAAGAACACAGAACAGUGUAACGCAACCAACAAUCAUCAUACAUGCCCACAAGUACGUUGAAACAAUCCUUCUCCAAAUUUUACUAAUCACCACACAGAACUUUAAAGCAUCAACCCUUUUUCUCGAAUAAGUGCAAUCUACAGAGUAAACUACCGCAACUUUGGAUAACAAAGACAAUGUGAUAAACAAAGGGAAGCAUACUGUGGAAGAAACAGCCAUCUCGGAGAAAUGGUGACACGAGUGUUUGACAAAAGGCCUCAAUGGGAGUCCUCCAGAUUUUGCAACUAACAAAAGCCUAAUAGUUAGUCUCUUAACUAUAGACUGAUCAACAAAUACAUUUGAUAAAACAAUGGCAGAUACUGGACAAAUAAGCAAGGCAGCAAUUAUCAUAAACGAAGAGGAAUUGUACCGGAGGAUCCUCACGGUUUCCCUCAAGAUCUCUAAUGCAUUCAUUGAAUGGAAUUGAUGAUUAUACCCAUGAUCAUGUCCAGCUAAUUCCAACUCAAAUUUCUGCAACUGGGUAUCUUCAGAUCCCUCCUUUUGUAACUGAUCCAAACUCAUUCUAGGAGAAGUACCACCAGAAACCUCCAUCUUAUCAACGAGAACAACGAAAAUAUAAUAGAAAUAUGCAAAGGUUCACCUCAUCAGAUAUGAAUUAACAAGAGCAAGCUAUUACAACUGAAAACCCAAAAACGCAGAUUGCUUUAAAGGGCAAUCAAGCACAGAACAUAGAAUAAUAGAAUCAGAUCUGGGAAUGAUUAAACAAAGAAAAAAAAAAACAAUUGAGGGAAUUAGAAGGCAGAAGAUUUGCGCAUAAAAGGUGUCCUGUUGAGGUUUCUGAAGAGGAGCAGUCGGUGGAUUCUUGACGUAAAUAGAAGAAUGGUGGGUGAUUUUGAUUGAGAUUUGGCCAUUUUAGAGUGUCCGUGUUAAAGAAGUCGCCAUUGAAUAAAAUUAUUAAAAUGUUUUCGAGUUACCGAUACAAUUUCAUGGAUGCUAUUGCCUUCGAGC
rnacentral:misc_RNA from 1 species